rnacentral:rRNA from 1 species
CACGUAGGGGGGCAAGCGUUGUCCGGAUUUAUUGGGCGUAAAGAGCUCGUAGGCGGCUUGUCGCGUCGAAUGUGAAAACUCGGGGCUCAACUCCGAGCUUGCAUUCGAUACGGGCAGGCUAGAGUUCGGUAGGGGAGACUGGAAUUCCUGGUGUAGCGGUGAAAUGCGCAGAUAUCAGGAGGAACACCGGUGGCGAAGGCGGGUCUCUGGGCCGAUACUGACGCUGAGGAGCGAAAGCGUGGGGAGCGAACAGG